AAUGGUCUGGGACCUGGCUGCUAAGCCACCUUCUGAGUAUUCAGCAAGAAGAGAAGACUCUGGUGCUGGGGGAGAGCAAAGUAUAUAGCUGAGCCUUGGCCUUGCUUCCAUACCUUAGCAAUUCACCUUCUGAUAAACACUUGAGCUGCUAUGAAAACAAGUUACCAAUGAUCUUCCCAGCUGCCAGUGAGGAGGGGCUGAUUUUGAACCAUGUGGCAAAUUGACUUGGGCAAAAACUUUAGCUAAGCCCUUCUAUGUUGUAAUAAUAGGGAUGCUAAAUCUGCAAAGCCAGCUCAGCAAACAGCUGAUCUAUCUGACUUGAUCUUGGCUGGGUACCCUUCUGGUGGUCUCCCAGCUAAUGUAAGCUGAGCUCAUCAGAAAGCGGCUGCCCAACCUGAUACUGAGACUCUGUGAAUGCUACAACUUAGCCUUAUGAGUGGGAUGCAUCAUCUUAACCAUACCUACUAGUCUAAACUAUUGACUGUGUGGAAUAACGUGGGGAAAAAGUUGGAUUUAAAUCAAUCCCUGCAAAAGAUUUCUUGUUACAUAGGCUACAGAAAAUCCUUUCUCUAUAUUUCUCCUUCUCCCAGGCAGAUGGAGAAGAGCGGAGCAGAUUCUGGCCUCUGGGCCAGUGCUGUCAGUGAGCUCAUUUAUAGGGCUGGGCAGGUUUUGGUGGGCGAAAAGCCAUAUGAUACAAAAGAACCUGCUCCAAAUGGGGUUUUGUUGCUACCAUUGCACUAGGUUCCUUUUUUACUUCUUCUGUAAUUAAUAAAAAAUAACUACAAUUGUAUUCAUGAUAGAGACUAUUCAGUCUGGGGGGGGAAGUACUUCUGUAUAUGCUGACCUGACUUCAUAUUUUGGGGUGGCAAUAUCUUACCAUGGUGGACAGCAAGAUGGAUUUCUGCUGGUGACAGACUAAAAAUCUUUGGUUAAUUAGGUGUGUUCAUUUCAAAAUAUAUAAUAACUAGGAAAAGACAUGCAAAACCUGAAAUUAGAUCAUGUUAUGCAUAGAGGAUAUAGCAGUCAGUAUUUACCAUUUGCAAUAAAAAGUAAUCGUAUAUAUUUAAACAAAUACUGUAAACAAACUCCUGCUUCCCUUCACAGGCAGAGUUCAAGCAGGCAAGUUUGUUUUGUGGCUUUCAGGCGACUUUUAAAAUGUCAAACUUCAUUGCAGUUAGCACUGUUCAAAAAUACACACAAGCAUGCACAAUUAUGUACAAGUAAAUAUAUACUUGUUCAAUUUUCUUA
rnacentral:lncRNA from 7 species